rnacentral:tRNA from 1 species
GGGGAUAUGGCUCAGUGGUCCAGUGCCUUCCUGGCAAGUAUGAGGCCCUGAGUUUGAUUCACAGUACUCCCU